ACAAGUGUGAGGUUAUUUCAAUUUUAAGAUAUUAUUUACAAUAAAUUAUAACAUUGUUGAGUUCAUAAAUUAUAGUCGUGGCAUAAAAAAAACUAUUAGCGAUAAUAGUGCAAACCCCAAGCCGUAAAUUUUCUCAUACAGGGUGUUUUGAACUUGCAUAAUUCAAAUCAAUGAGAGGAAGAAUAGUGGACAAGUAAAAAAGAAA